GUCGUACUUAGGCCCACAAACUGGAGGAGAAAGAAAAACAGCUGAAGAAACAGGACACACUCUACAGGGAGCAGGCGGCCAAGCUGAAGGAGAGGAGAUGUCAGUUCUUCAAAGUCACCACAGAGAACUUCAAGAAGGGCAAAGAGGACGUUCACAACACCUUCAAGCGUGUUGACAUCAAGCCAGUGUGUGAUGACCUGCAGAGUCGGAUCCUGAAGUGCUACAGGGAGAACACAGGACAGACCCUCGCCUGCUCUGGCAUCGCCAACCUCUACAUGCAGUGUGUGGAUAACCACAAGACUAAGAGCACUGGAGGUUAGAAAAGCCAAUUGCAUUACUGUUAAACCAAAGGGACAGGAGCCGGGCGCCAUCAGCCAUCAUGGCACACCAAAGCCAGUUGAACUGUACAGACACCAGGGCCACAGCAGCUGGAGACACUCAUAUGUUCCACCAUCCCUUAAUGCCAUUCACGGUAUCUGUAUCAACUUGGCAGAGGGUCAGAGGUAGAACGAGGAGACCAUGUCUUGACCCAGUCCAGGCUGUGACAGACCACUGGUACUGUUUUCACUAGUACUGAUGUCAAAAGAUGUGGUAGAUUGGGUCCGAAAGUGAAGGACGUGCACACCUCUGGUUCAAAUUGACACUGCUACUACCACAGGAAAUGGACAGUGUUACCAUGACUAUACUAUCGCAAGAAAUUAAGCAUAUCUGGUGCUUCAAACACAUCUCAUCCCUAACUGGAAAUAAACACAGCAUAUCAUAUAUCCACCAAUCGAAAGAAUGGGAUUCAUGUUUUGCUAUUUACAGCAGCAAGAAACAUAAGGAAUGGCCGAGUUGUGAAAUAUUGUGCAACGUUUGUUGAGUUAAUAUGCACCUAUGCCUUAAUGUCCCAUCAAAACACAAAUGUUGCCAAUGCAAAAAAUAAUGUACUGUUGAUCGUUAUUGUUAAACAUAUAUAUAAAGA